rnacentral:rRNA from 1 species
GCUACACAUGCAGUCGAGCGGUAGCACAGAGAGCUUGCUCUCGGGUGACGAGCGGCGGACGGGUGAGUAAUGUCUGGGAAACUGCCUGAUGGAGGGGGAUAACUACUGGAAACGGUAGCUAAUACCGCAUAAUGUCGCAAGACCAAAGUGGGGGACCUUCGGGCCUCAUGCCAUCAGAUGUGCCCAGAUGGGAUUAGCUAGUAGGUGGGGUAACGGCUCACCUAGGCGACGAUCCCUAGCUGGUCUGAGAGGAUGACCAGCCACACUGGAACUGAGACACGGUCCAGACUCCUACGGGAGGCAGCAGUGGGGAAUAUUGCACAAUGGGCGCAAGCCUGAUGCAGCCAUGCCGCGUGUGUGAAGAAGGCCUUCGGGUUGUAAAGCACUUUCAGCGGGGAGGAAGGCGUUAAGGUUAAUAACCUUGGCGAUUGACGUUACCCGCAGAAGAAGCACCGGCUAACUCCGUGCCAGCAGCCGCGGUAAUACGGAGGGUGCAAGCGUUAAUCGGAAUUACUGGGCGUAAAGCGCACGCAGGCGGUCUGUCAAGUCGGAUGUGAAAUCCCCGGGCUCAACCUGGGAACUGCAUUCGAAACUGGCAGGCUAGAGUCUUGUAGAGGGGGGUAGAAUUCCAGGUGUAGCGGUGAAAUGCGUAGAGAUCUGGAGGAAUACCGGUGGCGAAGGCGGCCCCCUGGACAAAGACUGACGCUCAGGUGCGAAAGCGUGGGGAGCAAACAGGAUUAGAUACCCUGGUAGUCCACGCCGUAAACGAUGUCGAUUUGGAGGUUGUGCCCUUGAGGCGUGGCUUCCGGAGCUAACGCGUUAAAUCGACCGCCUGGGGAGUACGGCCGCAAGGUUAAAACUCAAAUGAAUUGACGGGGGCCCGCACAAGCGGUGGAGCAUGUGGUUUAAUUCGAUGCAACGCGAAGAACCUUACCUGGUCUUGACAUCCACAGAACUUUCCAGAGAUGGAUUGGUGCCUUCGGGAACUGUGAGACAGGUGCUGCAUGGCUGUCGUCAGCUCGUGUUGUGAAAUGUUGGGUUAAGUCCCGCAACGAGCGCAACCCUUAUCCUUUGUUGCCAGCGGUUCGGCCGGGAACUCAAAGGAGACUGCCAGUGAUAAACUGGAGGAAGGUGGGGAUGACGUCAAGUCAUCAUGGCCCUUACGACCAGGGCUACACACGUGCUACAAUGGCAUAUACAAAGAGAAGCGACCUCGCGAGAGCAAGCGGACCUCAUAAAGUAUGUCGUAGUCCGGAUUGGAGUCUGCAACUCGACUCCAUGAAGUCGGAAUCGCUAGUAAUCGUAGAUCAGAAUGCUACGGUGAAUACGUUCCCGGGCCUUGUACACACCGCCCGUCACACCAUGGGAGUGGGUUGCAAAAGAAGUAGGUAGCUUAACCUUCGGGAGGGCGCUACCACUUGG